UUUAUGCUUUUGUUUAUAAAGCUUACAACACAGUAGGCCAGUCGCUUAAAGUGUUCCAUCCCCCAGAAAGUUGUCCAUUAUCGCCACUACUGAAGAAAAUAAAUGAUGUCCUUGGAGAGGUGGUGUAUCUGAUUGAGCAGCUGGAGGCUGAUCGCCAGUAUGCAGAGGAAGCUAUCCAGAAAGAGAAGACAAGAAAAAGAUUUCUGGAGAGCAAAAUUGACAGUAUUUCACUCUGGAAGAAACAAGAACAUUCGUUUGUUGUCCAAAAAGAGCAUGAGGCUUGCAUCAGAGACAACACUGAACUGAAGUGGCAGCUAAAACUGGAAAGGCAGAAACUUCAGCAGAACCAGGAGAAGUUGUCACACACUGAGGUGUUGAACCAACGCUUACAUGAGGACAUCAGCUUUGCCAAAAAACAAAUCCCCAUUGUGAAAGAAAACCUGGACUUCCAGAGAGACAUC